UGGAUCAACCACGGGAUAACUGAAUGAGAGGGAAAACAAACCGCAUCUCGCGCGCUACGUCUAUCGCGGCGGACGUUUCAUUCACCCCACCCCCCACCAGCGCCGGCGUCUGCCUCAUCCAUUCCACGCUCCAAGCGGCCAACCCGAUUUCAGUUUACUUCGGAACUUCGUAGCGCGAGGAACCCACGUCGCUCUCAUCUCCGUCGCGCCAACAGGUGCCUGCGUAGUGCUAUCGAACCUUAGGAUUUACUCGACUUGUGUUCUAUUCCAAGUGCCCAAAGUACAAAACAGUGCCUUUUUUCGUUUCGCGUUCUGUGAAUCGUGCCCAGGAUUCGUUCGAGUGUUGUGUUUGCGGUUUCUUUCCGAGGAAGGAACCGGUGUGCAAAAUAUUUUGUUGAUCGUGCUCUCUCGUUUGUUUUUUGGCGAAUUGGAGGUGAAUAUUGGAUAACUUUGAAAACAGGAGCGGCGUCGGGAUCGCGACGUGGAUGCGGUCCUCGCUAGGGUGAAGCUGCCUGGGCUGGCGCGCGCGAGUGGCCCGGGUCCGGGGCGAGGGCGCGCUGCAAUGGAGGGCCAGGACGAGCUGCGGACCCUGCCGUCCCUCCUCCGGAGCUCGUCGUCUCGGUGGAGCUGGCCUUCGAGCGGGUCGCCGACGAGGAGCUCCCCAGGGCUUCGACAGGGACGAGCCGGACUUCCGACACGGGCACCCGAGGAUCGAGAAAAGGGACUCGGCCAUGCAGACCGGGCCCUGCUUCGACGAGGACGACUCCAUACCCCACAUCGACAGCGACGACAAUGAGCCCGACCCUCCUCAAACCGAGCCGGCUCGGAAGACGAGCGCCGAGGACGGGCGAAGAGUGAACCCAGAAGCCGAGACCGAGGUCCAGACGAACGGCGACCAAGAAGCCCCGGCACAAGUCAAAAGCGUCCAGGAUAUUUGCUCACGUCCGGCGUCUAUCUACCCGGUAAGUCGCCUUCUGUCUCUGCAUUGCCGCGGUUACCCACUGGGUGUCCUGCAAGUUGGGAU
rnacentral:lncRNA from 1 species